GUGAAUCAUCGAAUCUUUGAACGCACCUUGCACUCUUUGGUAUUCCGAAGAGUAUGUCUGUUUGAGUGUCAUGAAACUCUCAACCCCCCUAUUUUGUAAUGAAAUGGGCGUGGGCUUGGAUUAUGGUUGUCUGUCGGCGUAAUUGCCGGCUCAACUGAAAUACACGAGCAACCCUAUUUAAAUAAACGGUUUGACUUGGCGUAAUAAUUAUUUCGCUAAGGACGUUUUCUUAAAAUAUAAGAGGUGCUACUAAUUCGCUAUUAUAGCAUUUAAGCUUUAGACCUCAAAUCAGUCAGGACUACCCGCUGAACUUAA
rnacentral:rRNA from 1 species